rnacentral:lncRNA from 1 species
CAUGUCUUGUUCUUGUGUAGAGCCUCAAUUUCUUCCUGCAUUGCUGUCAUCCACAAAGUAACAUCUGAGCUGUUUAAAGCUUCAUGGAAAGUUGAAGGCUCUCCAUCCUCUGUUAGAAGACAGUAUGCAACGUUGAUCUCUGUAACAUACUCCGAGUGCCACGUUGGCGGUCGUCUCUCACGAGUUGACCGACGAACUUCUGGAGCCUCGGACUCGACUGGUUCUUGUUCCUCGUGCUCUGGUGCUGCUUCAGAAGAAUCUGAAUCUUC